GGUUAAGCGACUAAGCGUACACGGUGGAUGCCCUGGCAGUCAGAGGCGAUGAAGGACGUGCUAAUCUGCGAUAAGCGUCGGUAAGGUGAUAUGAACCGUUAUAACCGGCGAUUUCCGAAUGGGGAAACCCAGUGUGAUUCGUCACACUAUCAUUAACUGAAUCCAUAGGUUAAUGAGGCGAACCGGGGGAACUGAAACAUCUAAGUACCCCGAGGAAAAGAAAUCAACCGAGAUUCCCCCAGUAGCGGCGAGCGAACGGGGAGCAGCCCAGAGCCUGAAUCAGUGUGUGUGUUAGUGGAAGCGUCUGGAAAGG
rnacentral:rRNA from 1 species